rnacentral:rRNA from 1 species
AUACGUAGGGUGCGAGCGUUGUCCGGAAUUACUGGGCGUAAAGAGCUCGUAGGUGGUUUGUCGCGUCGUCUGUGAAAUUCCGGGGCUUAACUCCGGGCGUGCAGGCGAUACGGGCAUAACUUGAGUACUGUAGGGGAGACUGGAAUUCCCGGUGUAGCGGUGAAAUGCGCAGAUAUCAGGAGGAACACCGGUGGCGAAGGCGGGUCUCUGGGCAGUAACUGACGCUGAGGAGCGAAAGCAUGGGUAGCGAACAGGAUUAGAUACCCUGGUAGUCCAUGCCGUAAACGGUGGGCGCUAGGUGUAGGGGUCUUCCACGACUUCUGUGCCGUAGCUAACGCAUUAAGCGCCCCGCCUGGGGAGUACGGCCGCAAGGCUAAAACUCAAAGGAAUUGACGGGG